GGAGGAAAGCAGGGGAUCGCAAGACCUUGCGCUCAUUGAGCGGCCGAUGCCUGAUUAGCUAGUUGGUGAGGUAAAGGCUUACCAAGGCGACGAUCAGUAGCUGGUCUGAGAGGACGACCAGCCACACUGGGACUGAGACACGGCCCAGACUCCUACGGGAGGCAGCAGUGGGGAAUUUUGGACAAUGGGGGAAACCCUGAUCCAGCCAUGCCGCGUGAGUGAAGAAGGCCUUCGGGUUGUAAAGCUCUUUCAGCCGGAACGAGACGGUCACGGCUAAUGCCUAUGACUACUGACGGUACCGGAAGAAGAAGCACCGGCUAACUACGUGCCAGCAGCCACGGUAAUACGUAGGGUGCGAGCGUUAAUCGGAAUUACUGGGCGUAAAGCGUGCGCAGGCGGUUUUGUAAGUCAGAAGAGGGAAUCCCCGGGCUUAACCUGGGGACUGCGUUGCAUAAAGGAAGCUAGAAGGGC
rnacentral:rRNA from 1 species